CCUACGGGAGGCAGCAGUGAGGAAUAUUGGUCAAUGGGCGCGAGCCUGAACCAGCCAAGUCGCGUGAGGGAAGACGGUCCUAUGGAUUGUAAACCUCUUUUGUCGGGGAGCAAAAGACGCCACGCGUGGCGUUCCGAGAGUACCCUGAGAACAAGCAUCGGCAAACUCCGUGCCAGCAGCCGCGGUAAUACGGAGGAUGCGAGCGUUAUCCGGAUUUAUUGGGUUUAAGGGGUGCGCAGGCGGAAGGUCAAGUCAGCGGUAAAAUUGAGAGGCUCAACCUCUUCCAGCCGUUGAAACUGGUGGUCUUGAGUGAGCGAGAAGUAUGCGGAAUGCGUGGUGUAACGGUGAAAUGCAUAGAUAUCACGCAGAACUCCGAUUGCGAAGGCAGCAUACCGGCGCUCAACUGACGCUCAUGCACGAAAGUGUGGGUAUCGAACAGGAUUAGAUACCCUAGUAGUC
rnacentral:rRNA from 1 species